rnacentral:rRNA from 1 species
AGUCGAGGGGGAAAGGGCACUUCGGUGCCCGAGUCACCGGCAGACGGGUGAGUAACGCGUGGGUAACCUACCUUGGGGUCUGGGAUAACCACCCGAAAGGGUGGCUAAUACCGGAUACGUUCCUGAGGCGCGAGCCGAGGGAAGAAAGGGUGCCACUGCAUAGCAAGCACCUGCCCCAAGAGGGGCCCGCGUCCCAUCAGCUAGUUGGUGAGGUAACGGCUCACCAAGGCGACGACGGGUAGCCGGCCUGAGAGGGUGGUCGGCCACACUGGCACUGAGACACGGGCCAGACUCCUACGGGAGGCAGCAGUGGGGAAUCUUGGGCAAUGGCCGAGAGGCUGACCCAGCGACGCCGCGUGGGGGAAGAAGGCCUUCGGGUCGUAAACCCCUGUCAGGGAGGAAGAAGGCUUACGGGUUAAUAGCCCGUGGAGUUUGACGGUACUCCCAGAGGAAGCCACGGCUAACUCCGUGCCAGCAGCCGCGGUAAUACGGAGGUGGCGAGCGUUGCCCGGAAUCACUGGGCGUAAAGGGGGCGUAGGCGGCCGGACAAGUCGGACGUGAAAGCCCGGGGCUCAACCCCGGAGUUGCGUUCGAAACUGUUUGGCUUGAGGUCCGGAGAGGCCGGCGGAAUUCCCGGUGUAGGGGUGAAAUCCGUAGAUAUCGGGAGGAACACCGGUGGCGAAGGCGGCCGGCUGGACGGCACCUGACGCUGAGGCCCGAAAGCGUGGGGAGCAAACCGGAUUAGAUACCCGGGUAGUCCACGCCGUAAACGAUGGGUGCUAGGUGUGGGGGGGUUAAACCUUCCGUGCCGAAGCU